ensembl:lncRNA
GAUGUAAAUGACAACGAUGUGACAAGAAUCUGAAGACCUAAGACCAAGCCACGCCGUUCAGGCUGAAUGCAAAUGUUGAGGGUUGAGAUUAAGGAUGUUUUGAUUAGUCUCCACAAGCGCUGAGGUGCAUCAGGGUCUCAUAAAAGGUCGGACAAAUUAUGCGGAGCAAAAUAAUUGUUCAAUGAAGACCUUUCAGAUGGUUUAUGCACAACGACCAAAAGCAACAAGCAAUGCAAUCCAAACGUUCCAACAGUCUGAUAGAGAUCAACAGUCCUUAAAGAAUGUUCCGUCACUGUUUUCUACGAACAAAUAGGUGUAUUCUGAGUCAAGAGUUCCUUUUAAAUCACAGAUCCACAUGUACAGUACAGUGAAUGUAACUCAGUAAAUGUACCUGCUAUUCAAUUUUGUGGCGCACGUACUUCAGCAGGGAAGAAAAAAGUGAGGUAACUGAGGUCAGUCAGUCAGUUGAAAGAAAAGAAUAUUCCUUGUAGUUGAUUUCAAUUAUUUUGUUAUUACUCCCCCUGACAGUGGAUCAAACAACAGCUAAUUGUUGAUAUGAACAAACACCUGAGCUGGUGGUUGAGCUGCGUGUCAAUAAAUAGCACAGGUAUUAUGAACCAGGAUGAACUGUGGUAUUUUAACAAAGUUAGUCAAACACAAAUCAACAUAUUCCCUGAUUGCUAGUUUGUUCUUUCUUCUUUGAAUUCCACAGAUGGCAACCAUUUGCAUAUCAUUAUGAGCACCUGUACAUUGGUAUGCAUACCUUAUUAUCUUUUCCUUAAGUGCAGUAACCUAAUCACCUCGGUGCUGGAGUGAGCCGGGUCUCAUCAUGCUUCGGCUUUAGAGGAUUUCUCUCAGCAGUGACCUUCAGCUCCUCAGUCAGAGCAACAUGCAGAGAUUAAGUCAACUCAUUAACCCAUAUUAAUCACUAGGGACAUUUCAAUUUUUUUCAAUCAUUUUUUUGCCAAUGAUUGCGUUAAUGCAUGUGGCAUACACAUUUGGCAAGAAUGAGAUUUAUUUUUCAACCUCACAAACUGCGAAGCCAAAAACCAAACACUCUUAUGGACAGAAAUAGUCAAAUUGAACCCCAUUCAUUCCAAAAAAUGAUAUCCUUCAGCCAUUAUCGAAUAACAUCAUGCAUUCUAUUUGAUCAGGCUUUCAAUAUAAAGCCCACUCUUCAAAAUAGAUAGUUUUACUAUUACUGUUACUAUAACUGUUUAAUUGGGGGGGGGGGAUAUUAAAAUGCUGUUUUCCUGAUUGUCAAUGUGGGCAUUGCUGCUGUGUUAUGAGCCAUUGCAGGGUUUUAAUUCAUUUGAAUUAAUUUUUUGUGCUAGGAGAAGAUGGUACAAAACAUGUAACUGAAAAGGUGGGUGAAAGUAUUAUUGUUUCAUGCUAUUGCACAGUUUUGACUUUUUUUAAAGCGAUGAAAAGGGGUUGAUAUCCUGAACACGCUACAGUGUGAAUACGCUUUUAUGUUAAAACAAAAGAAGAGGACGAGAAAGAAAAAUGAGAGUAUGGGUUGCAGAUACACACAGAGAGAGAAACCGAGUGAUCUGGAAGCUUGUUAUUGAUGUACUGUAUGUUCGCUCCAAUAACAUUGGGGUAUCAAUGCAACUCUCAGUUACCAUGGCUACAGCAGAGUCUGUAUCGGUGAAUACAUAGCAGGACGACUGGUGGGCAGUCACAGAGGGACCAAUUAGGAGGAACAUGCUGCAUUGUCACUGUGCUUACAGGGAUUUACUUUAGUUAAAUUGGUAGAUUGUAACGGUGCAGAUUAUGGGACCAUCUAUAGAGGGAGAAUAACGGGGAGAAUACACGUAUGACAGUAUUUUGAGAAUUCAGGCAAUCAUCUUGUGAAUGAAUAAUGUCUUGUGUGUAUUAUGCUUAAAGUUACGUUUGAUAUGUUAUUAUUGAUAUUUGCAAAAUGUGUGGAUGUGGUGAAAUGUUUUCCUGGUAUAAUAAAGUAAAACAAAUGAAUGGCUCUACACACAUUAAUACAAUUAUUUAAUAAUCAUUUAAAACAACUUAUAACUUCAUAUUCAUAAAAAAGACACCCGGCAUAAAACGUCAGGCUUCAAAAAAAUUUAAAGUGAUGGUGUUUAAUUAUCUUGAUCAGCAUUUUAUAGAAAUUGCAUGUCAUAAUAUGACAGCUGUACUAUAAAAAGCUGUUGAAACGUGACAUUAAUUGAGAGGGGCAGCUUCAAUUUUCCUUUCAGUUGAUUGUGUUGUAAAUUGUUGUGGUUUAUACGUCUUAAAAAUAGCAAAGGUCUCCUGGAAUAUCUGCUGAACUUUAAAUAUUUAAUGCAUCUUGUUAUGUUGACUGAUUUUUUUGUAAGAAGAACUCUCAGCUCUACUCUUUCCUUCACUCUCUAUGCUGAUGGUGAAACAGUUUGACGAACUCAGCGAUUCAUAUGUAAUUGUAGACAUAUUUAGAAUUAUAAAUAUAAAUGUGGGAGUUGCCCGUAUAAGGUCAAUAUCCCCGUAGAAGAAAAUAUAUAGAAUCCAAUUAUAACAAGAGUUAGUCAUGGGAAUAACCAAAAUGAUUUCCUAAAAAAACAUUAAAUGUUUGUACCAAAUUGCAUUGCAAACCAUUCAAUAAUUCUCAACAACUUUCAGUUUAAAUACAACAAGAACAAAGAUGCAAAUGAUGGCUGAUGUCUCAUUGAUUUUUUUACAACUUGACAUGCAUUGGAAGCCGAAGCCAUUGGAACGACGGCAAAUAUCCACCGGGUCGGCAGGUGAACCCAGUGAACUGCAUAAGUUCAAAGGAUUAAAAGGUUUGCAUCGCCGCACUCAAGCCUCUCCGACUGGACGAUGAAAGCUCUCUGCUGGAUUGGGAGCUUUGAUGUUUGAACCAGAAAAAGCGCUGUUAAACGGGCAAGCGGGUUCACCUGGGUUGGACCACGGCCCUGAGCGUCUGGAAGCCGCACGGAGGCUGCCGGCCUUCCCUCCUCGACAGGGUCUUAACAGAAGGAGCCUCGGUAGAGUAUCUGCAAAUACUCGGCAGGUUUCUCUUUCAGCUGGGAACAGUGAGCGCAACGGACACGCGACAAACGUUGGGAAAAUCAAUUCUUUUUUGUAGGUGGGUGUCUGGAGAGGCCAGUUGACUGCUGUCACUCACGGACCUGUUGAGAGAAAUUAAGAGGUGAAUUGUCUUCCACUCUGCAUUCCGGUUACAACCCCCAAACAUGCAGAACCAGUACUGAGCGGAUGAAUUAGUCUGCAGCAGAAAUUCCACUUGCAGGAUGUAAGGUCCUUUUUCAGAGGCAGUUUACGGCCUUAUGGCAAAAGUACACAACUGCAUCAGUAAGGCAAGUACUUCUUUUAGUAUUUUUAAGUAUUAUCUUAAACCUGAAGUGAAGCUAUUAUCGCAUUCACAGUAUCUUUAUUUGAUAUAUGAUGUUCUCUUUUUCACAGUAGCUUUUCACUUAUCUUCAAAUUGUAAUGUAUAAAUAAAUGUGCUUAUACCAUAGUCACUUGAUUUAUUAUUUAAUGAGUUUUGAAACAAAAACUUUUUCACACAUUUUGCUCUGGUUAAAUAAUACUCAUGUUAUUUAGACUAUUCCUCAAACAUUUCAUUACAUGAGAAGUCAGUUGUUUCUCAGAGGGUGGGGGUGGAGGGAGGGUGGAGAUUACCAGCCGGCAGCCACCUCCGGUUUUCUGUCAAUAACACAUCACUUAUCUCGGUCUUCUCCGGAUUUUCUUUUUUUUCUCUUCAUCGCCUUCUCAUGCAGUUCUUUAGGAUUGCACUAACGCUCUGGGAAACCACGAGCCCCUCCUUUUCUUCUUUAUUUGAAGACACAUGUCCCCCACAGGUCGUUCUUCAUGUCCUCCUCCUGUUUGGCUCCUUUCUGCCCCUCUUUGUUUCCAGCCUCGCUGUGGAGGAGUUUGGCAUCUUCGUUGGUUUUCGAUUCCGGUGCUCGAUCUGUAGCUCAUCUGCACUUUACUUUCAACGCAUUUUGGUCAGAGACUUGUUGUUUUUCUGACUCAUACCUUGCAGCCCCGUUGUUAUACUCCUGCUUGAUUCGCGCUGUGCAGUUCUCUUCUUCUUCCCCCAUGUGGAGUUGGGGACUUUUCUUUCAGAUGGUUGGAUUGAGAUCCGCUCCCUUUUUUUCAGCUGCAGACUCCUCCUCUAUUUGCUGUGGAAGCUCCUGCAGGUGGUUCAACAUCCAUGUACCUGCACCCACCCUGCUGCAUCAGUUAUUGAUGCCUUAUUGAAUCCUGUCCCAGCGUGUACUUGGCAAUUCAAAUGCUAAAUGUGUGGUGCUAGAAAAAUCCGGCUCAAAGGGCCUAUUUUUUAUUUUUAUUUUUUACUCGACACCGGUUGUAAAAUCAUUAAACAGGACAUUUCCUCAAAUACUUGCAAGUAGAAGCAGAGUUGAAACACGUACAAGUCAUGCAUCAAGGCUUCAAGCAAGGACGUUACCAAGUGGAAGCCGGCCGGUCUUUAUCUUUAGGAAGGCAGCGGCAUGUUAUCUCUCUAAGUGAAGAGGCGCUGGUGUCAGCUUAAAACCCCAAACCCUCCAGGGAAGCUGUGUAAAUACUGAUGUACAAAGCAGAUGUACCAUCUAUUCAACGUAGAUCACCAGAGCUAUGUGAUGAAGAACAGGGCAUCGUGGUGUUGUGUGCCUGAACAAGGAGCUGUUAUUUAAACUUAAGGAUCUCUAUGUUUGCAUGCAAUUGCAGUUUCCGUUGCAAUAAAUUUCCGUCAUGUUUUUAUAUCAGUGAGUAAAGUGGAGGGAACAGCAGUAGUCAAAAUGCCCUUUGGAUUCUGCAAUAAGCUACAGUUAUCUUGCAAUCCUUUCUACUGCUUGGAAGAAUCGCCAUCACCUGAGGACUCUCACAGAUUAUCUUGUUAGCUGUUCGUCUUGGUCUGCAGAGAACAUCCAUGUGGUGUCAAAAUGGAGAACUUAAAAGGCUGCCAGAAAUGCAUAUGCUGAUUUAAAGACAGGCCAUCACGCAUAUACGUGAAUAACUGUUAGUUAUUAGUUAGUUAAAAGCCUCAAACAAAGUCAUAACAUUACAUUAUUGUGCCACGUGAACAAAGCAUUGACAACAAAUACUUAAAUGCAGCUUCAGACAACUACAUUUUUUAUUUCUGCAUUGCAUUUAAACCCAUUACUUACGUUUGGCAGUAACAUAUUAGUGUUAGAGUAUUAGUAUUAGAGUAUGUACAGUAUGUAAAGGUUCAUUGAACAAGUCUUGAGAUGUUCCGAUCAUCUUCCAACUGGAAAAAUAUGAUUUUAAAAGCAACAAUUCAUUCCCAGCAGCAUUGAAGCUGAACACAUAUGAGAAGCUGUAUUUGGAAAUGAUCUAAUUAACGUUUCUAAGCAACCUUCAUUCUGCGUCACUGUUACGAUGUUGUAAGUAAUGAGUAAUUACUUUAGAAAGUGUGUAUUUUAGACACAGUUGUUUAAAUGUUAUUUUAAACACAAAACUACACAACUUUCAACACAGUUACGUUGUGGUGGAAUCUAUUUACAGGGCGUUGAGUAAACCUGCAUUGAGUCUAAAUAACUUGAUUGUGACCAAUGAAGUGCAUCAAAUGAGCCGCAAAAUGUGAAACUCAAUACAACAUUACCUGUGAUUUGUCUCUCAAUGGUAGAUGACAUAUUGAUAAUGUCUCUCCUUUUCCUCAGGUCUGCACCUAAUCACAGUCUGUUUUGCUCUUUCUUUUCUCUUCUGUUUGCCCAUUAUCGAAGUUUCCCUAAUUUCAUACACACUUGUAAAUAAUGGAGAAAAGCAGUGCGCUUUUACAAUGUAUUGUUUGACAGAUUCUUGUUUGAGUUGAGAGCUGGAUUUUUUUCCUUUGGAAAGAAUAAAAUCUGAUCUCUGGUCUAUUUUGGGUGUGAGUUCUAUGUGUGUAAUUUCUGCCCUGAGGCGACAGUUUGUGUAAAUGCAAUCUGUACAUGAGAACACACUGCAUGGCGUUCAUCACGCUGUAGCCACCGAACCGAGGCAACGUUCUAUUGGCUAAUUUGCAGUGUUUCUUUAAAUGAGUUUGUAUUACCUCUAUUUUUAUUUCACUGUGAUUUAAAGGAGACAUCAUGACAACUCUUCAGCGCUUGUGUGCACAAAUUUGAGCCUACAGACAAAAUAUGCACUUAAAAACAAAGGGUUUUAGACAAAUGGGGAAUAAAGGUAUAUUCACACAGCUAUCAGGAAAAAACAAAAAAUCUUCCUUUUGUUUUUCACACCUUUACUAUUAUCUCUCUGUAUAGAGAUAUUGCAGUUGACGCAGCACUAUAAAUCUGGGUGUUUCUUUGCGACAAGAUGAUUUCAACUCGACGGGGAUGAUAAUGAAGUUACGUGUCAAUCAACCAGUCUUUUCAUUUAAGUCCUAACACGUCGACGUGCCAAAGGAAGCGACACUCUGAUCAUUAUCAUUUUCUACUUUGGCGUGAAGCCUAUCGUAUAGAGACAAUGAAAUCAAGUUAAUCGUAUAUAUUAAUGUAGAACUGAUUGAAGUCAGUAUGGGGGUUCAGUGUGCUGCGGCUGUGAUGUACUUUGUGUUCUUCUUUUCAUUCUGGUACUAAUUCAAGUAACCCGGAACGCUUUAGAAAUGUGAUUUCCUCAUUAACCUCAAUGCUACAAGUGGUGUUUGAAUACAUGAUCUAAAAUUAAAUGUAAAAGCAAGUUGACAACAAACAAGACAUUUAGUUUUUCAUGCCGUGUCGCUUAAUUUGUCCACAACACACAAAAACAACUUCUUCCCGGGUUAUUCUGCUUUGCCGUGCCAGUGCUAAAGAAGUAUUCAAAGGCCACUCAGUGGGACGCUUUGCUAAAGAUAGGCGCCACUUGCUGUGAUGAGAACAUGAUUACACACAGAAACAAGCUCACACCUGAAGGAUGCACGUGUGCUGAGAACGCAAGCAACAUUCUUACUUCUUACUAAGUUAUUUGGUUUAGUACAUUUAUCUAAUCACCUGAACUCAAACGCACCUACGUAGUGGUCCUCGUGAGGACGGCAUUGCUCUGCAUGAUACCGAUUGAAUAUAAUAAAAAGCCUUUAGACUUUAGCCUUUAGACACAUAACCCUAUUGUAGACAGCCAGAUGAUGUGAAAACAGAUGUUUAUAGAUUUAUUUUUUAUUGUGCUUUUCUGGAAACAUGUUAGUGUUAGUUAGCGCUAGCACUAUUAGUGUUAGUUAUGUUAGUGUUAGAACUAUUUUACUAAUGUGUUGCCUUUGGCUCACUGUAAGUAGCAAAAGCUUUUUUUGCGAAAACAUGUUGACGGUCAUGUUUUGUCGUCCUCUCAGGGGCCCUGAUUGAAUUCCAGUCUGCAACAUCUCAUGAAUGCUUAUGAAAAUGUAACAAGCAUUUUUACAAGCAGAGGGUUAGUUCUGUAUUCACGUCCCACGGUGUCCCACGGCGUCCCACAGCGAGGAGAAGCCCUCUGCACUGUUGCCCUUGACUGUGGAAUUCUUGUGUCUGCAGUUUGAAGGGUCUAAUCACGCUCCACUAAGCAAACUUUCUUCCAUCAACAAUCCUUCUGAAUCCUUUCUGCCGCCCGGUCUCCUGUUCCAUCGCCUCCUUUUCCUCAUUUUUUCAUCAAAAUCCUCCCGUCUCUGUGGCGUUAUGGAACAACAACUUCUUCCUGUACCUUCUCACCUCCCUUUCAGCCUCGAUCUAUUCAUCAAGCCAUUUUCCUGCACUUCUUCCAUUUUCAGCAGAGGGGAAAGAAAUCGUUAGUGAAAGAAAACCAGAGAGAGGGAGCGGCAGAAAGUGAUAAAAGCAGAAUAAGAAGCGCAAGAUGCCAUCGACCAGCUCUGCAGAGAACAAUCGGUGAUCUUGAGGCAAUCACAAGCCAUCACUGAAGCAGAAGGCAUGGAGUUUUUUGCCAGAUGGCCCGCACUCAUCGCCGGCUUUUGAAUACCUGCGGGUUCGUGGAUUGUCGUUGCCUCAAGCUCAGCUGCCAGGAUGAUGCUCAAACGUGUUUGACUAACCCGGAAUGUGUGAAAAAUGCUCCGGCCUGCAUUCGAUCAGGCGAUACAGAGAGGAGAGAAAAUAAAAGGGGAAAUAAAAGCUGUCAUACAUCAUAGCUUUUAAUACAACUUCUAACGUUCAGCGCUUCUCUC